rnacentral:lncRNA from 13 species
CAUAUCACAACUUGUUGCUCUACUCAGGAGCAGCAUGGUUUCCCUAUAAGUGGGCCUAUAGACCUAUUUGUUUGUCAAGACGGCUGUGCAUGGCUGCAUCUCAGUAGUAGUUUGUAGGCUAUGUUUUGGUUAUUUGGAUCUCCAUUUGCCUUUUAUUUACUGCGUUUAUUUACUGUUAAUGUAACUAGCCUACAUAUAGAUUGUGUCCUGCCUUUAUCCAUAAGAUAUUUUGUAUACUAGGCCUACUUGGUACCUCUGUUUUGUUCUGUUAGCGUUCAUUCGUGUUCAUUCGUUUGCAUUCGCAGUUGUGUCGGUAUUCUAAGCCAAACUGCUAUUCAGUAUUUUUGUUUGCAUGCAUGUAUGUGUAUAUGUUUAUAUCUUUGUCCAUAUUGUCCAUUUGUUUCGAAUGUAUAGACCAUAUGGUUCAAAAGAAAAUAGCCUAAUAUUGAAAAAGCAUCUAAUCAACAAUGGCAUUAUUUUCAAUUAACUCCGGCAAUUCGAAAGGUGGUCUUGAGGAAGCCCCUCAAGACACUGGGCCUGCAACAAACUUCGGGCUGCGGUCUAGGCCAAGGUGGGGUGGAUAAAGAUUUUGAAAUCUGGGCCAUCACAUUACCCUUUGAGGGGUGUUGAUCAGAGUCCUGCACGGAUUGAGUCUUUGACAACGGAAAUACAGAAGUUGCGGGAGGAGAAGUUGGGCAGAGCGCUGCAGCGGGAAGCAGGUCUUUGGCUAUGAGUGGAAAUAAGAGAUGAAAGAAAAAAUUGGCAGACUUCCGUCGGCAACCGUUGUUGUUUGACAAAGAGCAGUCAAAACUGGGCGCCCUAAUCUUAGACGGAGAGGUGAGCAGCUCGUGUAGCCUGAUCUUAUAGACUAGACGUAACAUAGUAAAAAUAAAUCCUGGAUACUCAAAUUAGUAUGAUACAGGGGCACAACUUUCACUCGGGACGGGGGACUUUACCCCUCCACAAUCUGAAAUUGCAUUUUUGUCCCAGCUCCAGUUUUAUCAUUACACUGGGGUACAAAAAUAGGUAUUGUAUGCUUUAGGACCAUGCGGAUGCAUAAGAGCAGUUGGGUAGCUGUUCGGCGGUUUAAGUCGGCUGGAUUUAGGACUGUCAAAUCAAAUCAAAUCAAAUUUUAUUUGUCACAUACACAUGGUUAGCAGAUGUUAAUGCGAGUGUAGCGAGUGCAGGAUACAGUAGAUGGUAUCGAGUACAGUAUAUACAUGAGGUGAGUAUGUAAACAAAGUGGCAUAGUUAAAGUGGCUAGUGAUACAUGUAUUACAUAAGGAUGCAGUCGAUGAUAUAGAGUACAGUAUAUACGUAUGCAUAUGAGAUGAAUAAUGUAGGGUAAGUAACAUUAUAUAAGGUAGCAUUGUUUAAAGUGGCUAGUGAUAUAUUUACAUCAUUUCCCAUCAAUUCCCAUUAUUAAAGUGGCUGGAGUUGAGUCAGUGUCAGUGUCAGUGUGUUGGCAGCAGCCACUCAAUGUUAGUGGUGGCUGUUUAACAGUCUGAUGGCCUUGAGAUAGAAGCUGUUUUUCAGUCUCUCGGUCCCAGCUUUGAUGCACCUGUACUGACCUCGCCUUCUGGAUGAUAGCGGGGUGUAUAGGCAGUGGCUCGGGUGGUUGAUGUCCUUGAUGAUCUUUAUGGCCUUCCUGUAACAUCGGGUGGUGUAGGUGUCCUGGAGGGCAGGUAGUUUGCCCCCGGUGAUGCGUUGUGCAGACCUCACUACCCUCUGGAGAGCCUUACGGUUGUGGGCGGAGCAGUUGCCGUACCAGGCGGUAAUAC